rnacentral:tRNA from 2 species
GCCGAGGUGGCAGAACGGUUAUGCGUCCGCCUGCAAAGCGGAUCUAUAAGGGUUCAACUCCCUUCCUCGGCU